GCCAGGACCAAGAGCGAGCCGGGAGGGCCCCCCGCAAGUUCCGCGAGGCUCUGACGCCGGGAGGAAAGGAAGCGGGAAAGGCAUCUGACAAGCUGUCGGAGGAAUACCCAUGAAGGAGGAGGAGGAACAGGAGGCAUUUAAGAUGGCGGAGUAGAAGGACAUGUGCUCGUCUUCUCCCGUGAGAACUCCAAAAUUAUAGCUCCCUGCUGAACAACCGUUGACAGGGAAAUGUUGCAUCCCACCAAAAAAGUAUACCUCACAUGCAGGGGCAAAGAAGAAGCCCCAGCAAGAUGAGUGAUAACAACUAAAGCUUACAUCACUGAGCAAAAUCCUGCUUGGAAGACACUUCAAAAGAUAGAACUGAGGGGCUUCCCUGGUGGCUCAGUGGCAAAGAAUCCACCUGCCAGUGCAGGAGACACUGAUCCCAUCUCUGGUGUGGGAAGAUUCCACAAGCCGCCACAACUAUGGAGUCUGUGCUCUAGAGCCCAGGAACAGCAACUACUGAACCCACGUGCCCCAACUACUGAAGCCCUUGUGCCCUAGAGACCAUCCUCUACAACAGAAGAAGCCACUGCAGUGAGAAGUCCACGCACUACAAGGAGG